rnacentral:rRNA from 1 species
GUGUCAGCCGCCGCGGUAAUACGAAGGGGGCUAGCGUUGUUCGGAAUUACUGGGCGUAAAGCGCGCGUAGGCGGUUUGUUAAGUCGGAUGUGAAAUCCCCGGGCUCAACCUGGGAAUUGCAUUCGAUACUGGCAAGCUAGAGUAUGGGAGAGGAAGGUAGAAUUCCAGGUGUAGCGGUGAAAUGCGUAGAGAUCUGGAGGAAUACCGAUGGCGAAGGCAGCCUUCUGGCCUAAUACUGACGCUGAGGUGCGAAAGCAUGGGGAGCAAACAGGAUUAGAUACCCUGGUAGUCCAUGCCGUAAACGAUGUCAACUAGCCGUUGGGGGAUUUGAUCCUUUAGUGGCGCAGCUAACGCGAUAAGUUGACCGCCUGGGGAGUACGGUCGCAAGACUAAA